CAGGAAAAUGUGCAUUAUUCCAGAUUCAUCUUUAUACAAAGAGUAGCUUCUUUAGUUUCAGUAGCACCACCUGGUGCUAUCCCAGGGACGAUAACUAUUAGUGAUACUUAACGUCAGCUCUGCUCCAUCCCGACUGAGGUAUUGCUAAGAUAAGGCGGAACAGCUUCAAAAUGUGGUUCCAAACGUGCUGAAGUUCAUCUGGCAUCCCAUAUUCUAAGUAAGUACAUAUUACACUUACGUUGUAACUAGUAAUCUGUAACCUACAGGAUAACCUCACGAACUCUGAUUUUCUUUGUUUGUGUAGACCUCACCUCUUCAUUCUCAGUCACCUGGGGCCUGUUUCACGAAGCAGGUUCACUGAAAACUCUGAGUUUCUUAACCCUGAAAUGAGGGAAACUCAGAGUUUUCCGUUUCACGAAGCGAGGUAACUUAACCCUGAGACAGAGGGGUAACUCUAGCCUGUUUCACAAAGAGGGGUAACUUAAACUCUCGGUCAGUUACCGCAGUAACAGACUAUGACUCUAACCUGGUCACCAGCAGGUUUAUCUGAGAAAACCUCCAGUUUCUCUCCGUCUCCGCCCUCUUUCAGCCACACACGCCGUUUCAUUUCCUCAUUCAUUCAGUCAGUAAGCGAGCGAGUUUUGGCGUAGAACAGCUUUUAUUAACGAUCCAGUGGAUAAAGGAGCAGCAUUACUGCACAGAUAAUUAAAUAUUCGUCGGUGGAUUGUUAUCAGACCGCGCAUAAAUGUUCUCGCAUUUCCGGACAAUUAUCGGUUUGAGCGGUACCGUUUCGUAAUCGUUUUAAAUCCAUAAUCUACAUAAACAACCUAAUCCGUCCUUACAUUUACAUUACCAACCAGUCAUGCUCUCACAUCCAGCAGAUAUUGUGUGUUGCGCUGCGGUUCUUUGCAAAUGGAAGUUUUUAUAUGAUGUCGGAGAUGCAGAGCACUACAGUAAGACAACUGUAUGCAGGACAGUCAGAAAAGUUUUCCUGGCUCUGAAAUGACUUUUACUCAUCAUUGUGGACAUAAACCUGUCAGAACAUCAAGAGGAGUUCCACAGGAUUACAGGUGAAUGAUGUAGAGAUCUGUUAAAUUCAUUUUAGAUCAUAUUCUGUUAAUGACAUUGUGCUGCAGCCUCAGACUGGGAUUAGUCAUUUUAAUUUCUUUUAGGAUUUCCCAGUGUGAUUGGCUGCAUAGAUGCACACACAUCCCCAUCACAGCUCCCUCACAUCAUGAACAGGAAGUCCAUUCACAGCAUAAAUGUGCAGGUAGGCUACAGGUAGACUGACUACUGUUUCUAAAUGUUAAAGACUGCAUCAUAGUUCAACAUCUGUCAUUCUCUGCACUGUCCAGAUCAUAUGUGAUGCUGCAUACAUCAUUUCUAAUGUGGAGGCCACGUGGUCUGGGUCUGUUCAUGACUCCAGGAUUUAUGGAGAGUCUAACCUGAGCAACAGACUGCAGCGUGGAGAGUUUGAUGGCCUUCUGCUGGGUGACAGGGGUUACCAUGCCAACCCAGGCUGAUGACCUCAUACCCUGACCCUGAACCAGGCCCCCAACAGAACUUCAACCGGACUCACUGCAGGACCAGAGCCCGGGUGGAGAUGACCAUAGGCCUGCUGAAAGCCCGUUUCCAGAGCCUACGUCUCCUCAGGGUGACCCCUGAGAGGGCCUGUGAUAUUACUGUGGCAUGUGUUGUUCUUCAUAAUAUUACCACUAUUAGAGGAGAGCAACACCCUGCCCUACAAACUGAAGACCCAGAUGAUGAGCCCAUCCACCUGCAGCUAUCCAGGACAGCAGAGCAGUCAGAGACACCGUAUGCAAUAAUCACUUUAGAGUUUAAGUCUCCAUCAUCACCACCACAGCAAAUAAAGACAUGAUACACAUUU